rnacentral:rRNA from 1 species
UACAGAGGUCCCAAGCGUUGUUCGGAUUCACUGGGCGUAAAGGGUGCGUAGGUGGUGAGGUAAGUCGGAUGUGAAAUCUCGGAGCUUAACUCCGAAAUGGCAUUGGAAACUACCUCGCUAGAGGAUCGGAGGGGAGACUGGAAUUCUCGGUGUAGCAGUGAAAUGCGUAGAUAUCGAGAGGAACACCAGUGGCGAAGGCGAGUCUCUGGGCCGGUACUGACGCUGAGGAGCGAAGGCCAGGGGAGCAAACGGG